rfam:Salmo salar isolate Sally breed double haploid chromosome ssa11, whole genome shotgun sequence.
AAAAUGUAUGAAUGUAAGUUGCUCUGGAUAAAAGCAUCUGCUAAAUGUAAAAAA